rnacentral:rRNA from 1 species
UACGAAGGGGGCUAGCGUUGUCCGGAAUCACUGGGCGUAAAGCGUACGUAGGCGGACCGUUAAGUCGGGGGUGAAAUCCUGGGGCUCAACCUCAGAACUGCCUUCGAUACUGGCGGUCUUGAGUGCGGGAGAGGGAGGUGGAACUCCAGGUGUAGAGGUGAAAUUCGUAGAUAUUAGGAAGAACACCAGUGGCGAAGGCGGCCCACUGGCCCGGUACUGACGCUGAGGUGCGAAAGCGUGGGGAGCAAACAGG